CACGGGGGGCGCAAGCGUUAUUCGGAAUUAUUGGGCGUAAAGGGCGCGUAGGCGGUCUUGUCGGUCAGAUGUGAAAGCCCGGGGCUCAACCCCGGACGUGCAUUUGAAACAGCAAGACUUGAGUACGGGAGAGGAAAGCGGAAUUCCUGGUGUAGAGGUGAAAUUCGUAGAUAUCAGGAGGAACACCGAUGGCGAAGGCAGCUUUCUGGACCGAUACUGACGCUGAGGCGCGAAGGCGUGGGGAGCGAACAGGAUUAGAUACCCGCGUA
rnacentral:rRNA from 1 species